rnacentral:rRNA from 1 species
GACGUAGGGCGCGAGCGUUGUCCGGAUUUAUUGGGCGUAAAGAGCUCGUAGGCGGCUUGUUGCGUCGGCUGUGAAAACCCGGGGCUCAACCCCGGGCCUGCAUUCGAUACGGGCAGACUAGAGUUCGGUAGGGGAGUCUGGAAUUCCUGGUGUAGCGGUGAAAUGCGCAGAUAUCAGGAGGAACACCGGUGGCGAAGGCGGGACUCUGGGCCGAUACUGACGCUGAGGAGCGAAAGCGUGGGGAGCGAACAGG